rnacentral:rRNA from 1 species
AUUGAACGCUGGCGGCCGGCCUAACACAUGCAAGUCGAGCGAGCGGCGGACGGGUGAGUAAUGUCUGGGAAACUGCCUGAUGGAGGGGGAUAACUACUGGAAACGGUAGCUAAUACCGCAUACCAUCAGAUGUGCCCAGAUGGGAUUAUCUAGUAGGUGUGGUAAUGGCUCACCUAGGCGACGAUCCCUAGCUGGUCUGAGAGGAUGACCAGCCAAACUGGAACUGAGACACGGUCCAGAAUCCUACGGGAGGCAGCAGUGGGGAAGAGUGAACAAUGGGCGCAAGCCUGAGGCAGCAAUGCCGCGUGUAUGAAGAAGGCCUGCGGGUUGUAAAGGACUUUCAGCGAGGAGGCGUUACUCGCAGAAGAAGCAACGGCUAACUCCGUGCCAGCAGCCGCGGUAAUAC